GUGACUGCCUACGGUGGUGAAGCAAUUGAUUGAAGAUGUGAGAAGUGUUCUGGCUCUUCAUGUGGGCAACGACUGGCCUUUUAUUGCAGAGUGUUUGUAGAUCAACAUAACAAUCGACAUUGUUUAGUUCAAACAAAGGGCUUGGAUUGAAUCAGUUCAUUCUCAAUCAAGCCCAUUUUGGACUUCCCUUAUAACACCUCAAGCCUCCCGCCCGCCCGCAAGCCAGUAACAAACGCAACCAGAAACAGAGACCGGCAAGCAAGUCUUGCAAGCAUUAACUGCCUGAGUCUAACAAAUGGAGUGAUCAUAUAUUUAUGCUCCGUUUAUGUGCUUUAAAAGUUCAACCAAGCACUAGAAUGCGAUCAACCAGAAUUAUAACUUCAAACUUCAGGAAAUUUUCAUUUCUGGCUCCUACCCGUCUCAAUAAAUCACACAAAAGCCAAAGUCACUUCAACCGUUGAAACCACUGUGAAAAUGCCUUUUCAUUCCAAGUUUUCCGUUGGUUUCUCUUCUUUCUCGUCCUCAGAUCUCGAAAUUCCAUUUGCUGGAAAAUAUCUCUGUAACCAAGGAGAAUGUUCUAGUGACGGUGAUCAUGAUGAUGGUAGCAUUACAAAAUUAGAUUUAAGAGAUGAUAGUUUUGUUGAAGACGUAACGACCAUUGUGAAUAUAUUGAAUCAAUUGGGUGACAAUCGUUCGGAAAUGAGAAACAAGAUUGAGCAAUGUGGCGUUAAGGUUUCACGGGAGUUGGUCAUGGAGGUAAUGUAUAGAGUAAGAAAUGAGUGGGAGGCGGCAUUUACUUUCUUUCUGUGGGCUAGGUUAUGCCCAUUCUGUGCGUGAAUAUCAUGCUAUGAUUUCUAUUCUUGGUAAAAUGAGAAAGUUUGAUACAGCCUGCGCAUUGAUAGAUGAGAUGAGAACGGGUACACCGCUGUUUCUCUUGCUGUACUGUAGACUUUGCUCAUCAUGAUUAGGAGAUAUUGUGCAGUGCAUAAUGUUGGCCAGGUUAUAAAUACUUUUUAGGCGUAUAAGCGGUUUAAAUUUGAUGUGGGGAUUAACGAGUUUCAAAGUCUUUUAUCUGCUCUGAGCCACUACCAGAAUGUGCAAGAUGCUGAGCACUUGAUGUUUUCCCAGAAAGAUGUCUUCCCAUUUAACACAGAUGUUUAAUAAAUUGUGCUUAAUGGGUGGUUAAUCGGAUUCGUAGUCCUUGUCAGGCUAAAGCAAUGUUUGCGAAUCCUUCACAUAUUUAUGCUUGUGGGAAGUAUAAUUAUGACAGCAAUGCUCAUAUUAAUAAUAUUUUUGUGAUACUGUUUCUCUUUUGGUUUAUCUCAUCCUUGAGCUGUGCUAUCACUUAACAACCACUUGAAAGAUAUGAUUAUUUUGAAAACCAAACUAGUGCCAAGGAACUCCUUUUUGGUAAAAGAAAGUUGUGGUUAACUUGUGGAAGAACUCAGAUAUUUGCUGUUUGCUUGGGCUAAUUUGCGUUGCAGUUAAAGUGGUAGGCCAAUUUGCGUUUUCCUUGUUUAUUAAUCUUGGAAUUCAUUUUUCAUAUGUUAAGAUGUUUAAGAAUUAUUAGCAAACGGUGUUUUUCAAUUGACCAAAGGUAAGCGCUGCAUUUUCCAGUGAUACAUGGAUGGGUGAUAGACUAGAUGAUUCAACUAGCAGUUGUGCCUAGCUUUAUGUAACUUCCCAAAAACACAGUUUAGAGUCAUGUGCGUACUCUUUUGGAUGAUGUUUAUUUAAAGGCUUUUUCAUAUUAUGGUUUACCUUCAACAUGCCCCAAGUUGAUGUUUUAGGUUAAACAUUUCUAAUCACAUUUGUUGCAUGUAAUUUUAUGAGAAAAUGAACAAAUGUUUUUUCAGUUUGAUAGGGAAACAUUGGUAAAAUGGAGGUUUCCAACACAGUAUGUCAAGCCAAAUGAACAAAACUGAGAUGUCUUUACCUGGCUUUGAGAAUGAAUCCUCUGAUGGGAAUAACAGUAUGAGUAAUGUUAAGAUCCACGCCUGAAUUUUGUGAAAAGCUUCACUUGAGUCUGUCUCGGGGGAAUUCCCAGAUUGAUAGAUCACAGUUUUUCUUCAGCGCUUCAACUAGUUAUUGUCAUGAACUAUGGAUCUAUUUACCUCAUUAUUGUUCAUGACAUCUCCCUCGGACAUAGUAGGGUACUGAAAUGGUGAAAAAUUUAGAUUUCCUUUGAUGAAAUACCCCAUACUUGUUAGGGAGGAAGGGAAAAUUAGUAUAUUGGAUGUUUAUCUUUCAUUUUAUUCCUUCCUUCUAGUGAAGGGAGACUAUACUCAGGCUUCUAUGAGAACCAAGUUUAUAGUUGACAGCCACUACUUGGUUCAUGUUUAUGUUACGUUAUGAGACUUUUUGAAGUCUAAAAAGGGAUAGGUUGAUACUGUGGGCGUUGGUGCACCUCUAGAUGGAGAGUAUUCAGGCAUUUGCAUGCGGAACUAAGAUGUGGCACAAUUUACUUGAGGUUGAGUUGAUAAUUUUGUAUGCUUCCGUGAGCUCAUUUGGCCUUUUGAAUUGUGCUAGACAAACUGAAAACAUGUGUUGACAGAGUGCUUAUGGGUUGAUGAAAAAUGAAGUCAUGUAGCUGCCCUGCCCAUAACAUUUUUCUUCCUUUUGAUAAAUGCACAAUUUUCAACACAAACAGUGUAUUUUUCUACCAUGUUUUACUUUUGUUAUAAUACUCUUGUAUGUUAAUAAUGCAGGCAGGGACCAGCAGAAGAGUCAAGUUAAUGAAAGUUUAGAUCUGGAUUCUCAUUUUAAAGGUAGAUUGAAAGUCAAGGGUAUCACAACUGAGUGGAGAGAUGCUUUUGACCAUUGAGGUUCAGCAUGUGGGUAUUUGAAUUUCAGCCAAACAAGUUACCUAGUACAUGGGAAAGGAGAGAAGAACCUAUGGAAAUCCCAGGUACUUAUGAUUUGCAUCACACAUGACAUAAUAUUCAAAGCAUAAAAAAAAAAAAAAUCAUAUUCCUUGCAUGAUAAAAAAAUAUGUAUAUAAAGUGCAGCCUAUCAGCCAAACAAAAGCAUCUCUAAAGGAUAAAUACCAAGUCUAAGGACUUGUGGAUAAUCAUAAAACUUUUUGUUUAUAGUGUUAGCAUAUCAUAUGCUUCCAAAAUUUAUCUGAUACCUCUACACCGUGUUUGUCUUAUUAUCCAUUUGUCCAAUUUUUGCACCUCUUUUCUGUUCAACAACGUCCCAUGGCUUUAUUAUAUGGUGCAAGUCUUCCCAUAUUUUGGAACUCCAGCUUUCUUUAAUUAGUCAGUUUUUCUGAAGAUUGCCGUGCUCUGUUUGAUUGCCAAGAAGUUUCACAUCAUAGAGGAGAAGUUAAAAGUGACAAUCCCAUUGUUGUUUGGCAAUCCAUUUAGCUUUCUGUAAACAUUUAAUGCACUAUUCCACGAAUUAUACUUUUGAACCAUAAAUGAAAUGCGAU
rnacentral:misc_RNA from 1 species